rnacentral:rRNA from 1 species
CCUACGGGAGGCAGCAGUGAGGAAUAUUGGUCAAUGGGCGCGAGCCUGAACCAGCCAAGUAGCGUGAAGGAUGACUGCCCUACGGGUUGUAAACUUCUUUUAUAAAGGAAUAAAGUGAGGCACGUGUGCCUUUUUGUAUGUACUUUAUGAAUAAGGAUCGGCUAACUCCGUGCCAGCAGCCGCGGUACUACGGAGGAUCCGAGCGUUCUCCGGAUUUAUUGGGUGUAAAGGGAGCGUAGAUGGGUUGUUAAGUCAGUUGUGAAAGUUUGCGGCUCAACCGGAAAAUUGCAAUUGAUACUGGCAGCCUUGAGUACAGUUGAGGUAGGCGGAAUUCGUGGUGUAGCGGUGAAAUGCUUAGAGAUCACGAAGAACUCCGAUUGCGAAGGCAGCUUACUAAACUGCCACUGACGUUGAUGCGCGAAAGUGUGGGUAGCAAACAGGAUUAGAUACCCGGGUAGUC